rnacentral:rRNA from 1 species
UACGUAGGUGGCAAGCGUUGUCCGGAUUUACUGGGCGUAAAGCGCUCGCAGGCGGUUCCAUGCGUCGUGCGUGAAAGACCCCGGCUCAACUGGGGAGGGUCGUGCGAUACGGUGGGACUCGAGGCCAGUAGGGGGACGCGGAAUUCCGGGUGUAGUGGUGGAAUGCGUAGAGAUCCGGAGGAACACCAGCGGCGAAGGCGGCGUCCUGGACUGGUACUGACGCUCAGGAGCGAAAGCGUGGGGAGCGAUCCGG